AGUCGAACGGUGAAGCCAAGCUUGCUUGGUGGAUCAGUGGCGAACGGGUGAGUAACACGUGAGCAACCUGCCCUGGACUCUGGGAUAAGCGCUGGAAACGGCGUCUAAUACUGGAUAUGAGCCUCUUCCGCAUGGUGGGGGUUGGAAAGAUUUUUUGGUCUGGGAUGGGCUCGCGGCCUAUCAGCUUGUUGGUGAGGUAAUGGCUCACCAAGGCGUCGACGGGUAGCCGGCCUGAGAGGGUGACCGGCCACACUGGGACUGAGACACGGCCCAGACUCCUACGGGAGGCAGCAGUGGGGAAUAUUGCACAAUGGGCGAAAGCCUGAUGCAGCAACGCCGCGUGAGGGAUGACGGCCUUCGGGUUGUAAACCUCUUUUAGCAGGGAAGAAGCGAAAGUGACGGUACCUGCAGAAAAAGCGCCGGCUAACUACGUGCCAGCAGCCGCGGUAAUACGUAGGGCGCAAGCGUUAUCCGGAAUUAUUGGGCGUAAAGAGCUCGUAGGCGGUUUGUCGCGUCUGCUGUGAAAUCCCGAGGCUCAACCUCGGGCCUGCAGUGGGUACGGGCAGACUAGAGUGCGGUAGGGGAGAUUGGAAUUCCUGGUGUAGCGGUGGAAUGCGCAGAUAUCAGGAGGAACACCGAUGGCGAAGGCAGAUCUCUGGGCCGUAACUGACGCUGAGGAGCGAAAGGGUGGGGAGCAAACAGGCUUAGAUACCCUGGUAGUCCACCCCGUAAACGUUGGGAACUAGUUGUGGGGACCAUUCCACGGUUUCCGUGACGCAGCUAACGCAUUAAGUUCCCCGCCUGGGGAGUACGGCCGCAAGGCUAAAACUCAAAGGAAUUGACGGGGACCCGCACAAGCGGCGGAGCAUGCGGAUUAAUUCGAUGCAACGCGAAGAACCUUACCAAGGCUUGACAUACACCAGAACGGGCCAGAAAUGGUCAACUCUUUGGACACUGGUGAACAGGUGGUGCAUGGUUGUCGUCAGCUCGUGUCGUGAGAUGUUGGGUUAAGUCCCGCAACGAGCGCAACCCUCGUUCUAUGUUGCCAGCACGUAUGGUGGGAACCCAUGGAACC
rnacentral:rRNA from 1 species